GACGAACGCUGGCGGCGUGCUUAACACAUGCAAGUCGAACGGAAAGGCCUGCUUUCCCUUGUGGAUUGCGGGUACUCGAGUGGCGAACGGGUGAGUAACACGUGAGUGAUCUGCCCCCAACUUGGGUAUAAGCCUGGGAAACUGGGUCUAAUUCCCGAUAGGACUGCAGGGUGGUGCCUGUGGUGGAAAACGAUUUUCUAGUGGUUGGGGAUGAGCUCGCGGCCUAUCAGCUUGUUGGUGGGGUAAUGGCCUACCAAGGCGGCGACGGGUAGCCGGCCUGGGAGGGUGGACGGCCACAUUGGGACUGAGAUACGGCCCAGACUCCUACGGGAGGCAGCAGUGGGGAAUAUUGCACAAUGGGCGGAAGCCUGAUGCAGCGACGCCGCGUGGGGGAUGACGGCCUUCGGGUUGUAAACUCCUUUCGACCGCGAGGAAGCCACCUGGUUGGAAGGGUGGUGACGGUAGUGGUAGAAGAAGCACCGGCUAACUACGCG
rnacentral:rRNA from 1 species